GAUCAUGCUCAGGAUGAACGCUAGCUACAGGCUUAACACAUGCAAGUCGCGGGGCAGCAUGAAGGAUGCUUGCAUCCUUUGAUGGCGACCGGCGCACGGGUGAGUAACGCGUAUCCAACCUGCCUGUUACCACGGCACAGCCCGUCGAAAGGCGGAUUAAUGCCGUAUGUGGUCCUUUGCGGGCAUCUAAUUAGGACUAAAGGUUCGGCGGUAACGGAUGGGGAUGCGUCCGA
rnacentral:rRNA from 1 species